rnacentral:rRNA from 1 species
CCUACGGGAGGCUGCAGUGAGGAAUAUUGGUCAAUGGGCGGGAGCCUGAACCAGCCAAGUCGCGUGAGGGAAGACGGUCCUAUGGAUUGUAAACCUCUUUAGGCGGGGAGCAAUGCCGGGCACGCGUGCCCGGAGGUAGAGUACCCGCAGAAUAAGCAUCGGCUAACUCCGUGCCAGCGGCCGCGGUAAUACGGAGGAUGGGAGCGUUAUCGGGAUUUAUUGGGUUUAAAGGGUACUUAGGCGGAUUUUUAAGUCAGCGGUAAAAUGUCCGGGCUAAACGCGGGCCGGCCGUUGAAACUGGGGAUCUUGAGUGGGCGUGAGGUAUGCGGAAUGCGUGGUGUAGCGGUGAAAUGCAUAGAUAUCACGAAGAACUCCGAUUGCGAAGGCAGCAUACCGGCGCCCGACUGACGCUGAGGCACGAAAGCGUGGGGAUCGAACAGGAUUAGAUACCCUAGUAGUC